AACCUGCCGUCUACUCUUGGCCAGCCUUCUGAAAGGAAGAUUAAUCCAGGAUGGGAUCAUGAGUUCACAUGUCCGCAUGAUUAAAGGUAUUUUCCGGUAGACGAUGGGGAUGCGUUCCAUUAGAUAGUAGGCGGGGUAACGGCCCACCUAGUCAACGAUGGAUAGGGGUUCUGAGAGGAAGGUCCCCCACAUUGGAACUGAGACACGGUCCAAACUCCUACGGGAGGCAGCAGUGAGGAAUAUUGGUCAAUGGGCGAUGGCCUGAACCAGCCAAGUAGCGUGAAGGAUGACUGCCCUAUGGGUUGUAAACUUCUUUUAUAAAGGAAUAAAGUCGGGUAUGCAUACCCGUUUGCAUGUACUUUAUGAAUAAGGAUCGGCUAACUCCGUGCCAGCAGCCGCGGUAAUACGGAGGAUCCGAGCGUUAUCCGGAUUUAUUGGGUUUAAAGGGAGCGUAGAUGGAUGUUUAAGUCAGUUGUGAAAGUUUGCGGCUCAACCGUAAAAUUGCAGUUGAUACUGGAUGUCUUGAGUGCAGUUGAGGCAGGCGGAAUUCGUGGUGUAGCGGUGAAAUGCUUAGAUAUCACGAAGACUCCGAUUGCGAAGGCAGCCUGCUAAGCUGCAACUGACAUUG
rnacentral:rRNA from 1 species